rnacentral:rRNA from 1 species
GAUGAACGCUAGCGGCAGGCCUAAUACAUGCAAGUCGGACGGGAUUGAGGAGCUUGCUCCUCAUGAGAGUGGCGCACGGGUGCGUAACACGUAUGUAACCUACCUUUACCAGGGGGAUAGCCUCUCGAAAGAGAGAUUAAGACCGCAUAAUAUGAAGACACAGCAUUGUGAUUUCAUCAAAUAUUUAUAGGGUAAAGAUGGGCAUGCGGAACAUUAGCUAGUUGGUAAGGUAAUGGCUUACCAAGGCUACGAUGUUUAGGGGAUC